rnacentral:lncRNA from 1 species
GGCCAAGAGAUGGGGAAAAUUUGUCGACCAUCAUAACCACUAGCUUGUUUAGAGUAAGUGGAAAUAAAACUUAUUUUUUCAGAAAUAAGUAUUUAUUGAAUUUUGAAGUUACGAAUUUUAUAAGUUGAGUUGAUAGCAUGAUUUUUCAUAAUAAAAUGAAUUUUAUUAUCAAAUGUUUUUAAAGGUUAAAUUCAAUUCAGUUAAAUUAUUUCAUUGGCAUAUUAUUUCAGUAUUAAAAUUUUUAGCAUAUUUAACGUUAUUAUUUAAAAUCACCAGAAAGUGCCCAUGUGAUUUUACCCGCUUUACACUGGUGUGAAUGUAUUUUCUUAGUUUAUGACCAGUUAUGGUGAUUUUACCCGCUCUGCACUAUUGUGAAUGUGUUUCCAUAGUGUAUGACAAGAUAGCUCUGUGCGCGUAUGACCAGAAUUUCAGAAUUAAAUAACUUUACCAUGUAUAUCGGUACUAAUCGAUACAUGAGUAAGGUUAUUCCGAGGUAUCAUUUUGGGUGAUUUUCCAGUAUUAUACAGCUAAUUAGAUUUUAGACUACAAAAUUUAGCUUAUUCAGUUUUCAGAGUAAUGAUUUAUUUAUAUUUAUUAUACCUUACAGCUGCUUAUCUAGAAUUAAGAACAAAGAAUUUUAUGAUACAAUAAUGUUUAGUUUUAAAAGUGUUACUAAAUUUCAGAAUUUCUCAAGGUUUUAAUAGAGCAAGAAUUUUCAGAAAAUAUGUAUAAAUGGAUAAAAUAUACUCAUUUGCAAAUUAUCUACUCACUGAGCUAUAAGCUCAUAUAUUUUGUAAUCCCUUUUCUUUUCAGAUAGUAGCUGAAUUGAGUAGCGAUAGAGCCUGUUGAUUUGCCAAAUUGAGCAACGCAUUAUCAUUAGUUGUAUAACUUGUUUUUUUCUUUUUUAUAUAUUUCAUUUACUAGAAUACAUGCAUCUCUUGUUGAAAAGCAUAUUCAUAUUACGAUUUCGUUGCAAUUUUGUAAAUGUUGUACAAUUUGGAGUCUUUUGACUUGUUAAGAAGUAUAGAUUUCAUUCAUGUGUGCUUUAUUUUCUAAGGUUUAUAUUUGAAGGGGCCAUUGAACCCUAUUUUAAAUUAAAUGUACAUGUUCGGAAAAUUUUACUUCAUUUCAAGUGGUUUUAGUCCAUAUUUUAGAUAAAACUUUGUCAAAUUUUUUAUAAAAACAUGUCACAAGUCAAACCAAAUCAAAGUUGCCUUGGUACUAGGUUCGGCAUAUAGCUGGUAUCUAACAUCGGCGCACGACGCGUGUCGGAUCUGCUAGGAUGAUUCGGAC